UCGGGAAUUUUGGGCAAUGGGCGCAAGCCUGAUCCAGCCAUGCCGCGUGAGUGACGAAGGUCUUCGGAUUGUAAAGCUCUUUUGGCGGGGACGAUAAUGACGGUACCCGCAGAAUAAGCCCCGGCUAACUUCGUGCCAGCAGCCGCGGUAAUACGAAGGGGGCUAGCGUUGUUCGGAAUCACUGGGCGUAAAGCGCACGUAGGCGGAUUUGUUAGUCAGGGGUGAAAUCCCGGGGCUCAACCUCGGAACUGCCUCUGAUACUGCAAAUCUCGAGUCCGAUAGAGGUGAGUGGAAUUCCUAGUGUAGAGGUGAAAUUCGUAGAUAUUAGGAAGAACACCAGUGGCGAAGGCGGCUCACUGGAUCGGUACUGACGCUGAGGUGCGAAAGCGUGGGGAGCAAACAGGAUUAGAUACCCCCGUAGUCCCUGAGCGGGCUGGCAAGGCGCAU
rnacentral:rRNA from 1 species